CGGCAGCACGGGAGCAAUCCUGGUGGCGAGUGGCGAACGGGUGAGUAAUACAUCGGAACGUGUCCUGUAGUGGGGGAUAGCCCGGCGAAAGCCGGAUUAAUACCGCAUACGCUCUACGGAGGAAAGGGGGGGAUCUUAGGACCUCUCGCUACAGGGGCGGCCGAUGGCAGAUUAGCUAGUUGGUGGGGUAAAGGCCUACCAAGGCGACGAUCUGUAGCUGGUCUGAGAGGACGACCAGCCACACUGGGACUGAGACACGGCCCAGACUCCUACGGGAGGCAGCAGUGGGGAAUUUUGGACAAUGGGCGAAAGCCUGAUCCAGCAAUGCCGCGUGUGUGAAGAAGGCCUUCGGGUUGUAAAGCACUUUUGUCCGGAAAGAAAUCCCCUGGGAUAAUACCCCGGGGGGAUGACGGUACCGGAAGAAUAAGCACCGGCUAACUACGUGCCAGCAGCCGCGGUAGUACGUAGGGUGCAAGCGUUAAUCGGAAUUACUGGGCGUAAAGCGUGCGCAGGCGGUUCGCUAAGACAGAUGUGAAAUCCCCGGGCUUAACCUGGGAACUGCAUUUGUGACUGGCGGGCUAAAGUAUGGCAGAGGGGGGUAGAAUUCCACGUGUAGCAGUGAAAUGCGUAGAGAUGUGGAGGA
rnacentral:rRNA from 1 species